rnacentral:pre_miRNA from 1 species
CGGGGAGGUUGAACAUCCUGCGUAGUGCUGCCAGGAAAUCCCUAUUUUAUACUAAGAGGGGACCGGCUGGUUGCAUAUGUAGGAUGUCCCAUCUCCCUGCCCACAUCGUC